rnacentral:snoRNA from 1 species
AUUAUUGUGAUGAACCUACAGACCUGUAAUGAUUUGUGGGAAUGAUCACAAUCAUUAAUGAACAUCUAAGGGGCUGAAUUUAU